UAGGGAAUCUUCCACAAUGGGCGAAAGCCUGAUGGAGUAACGCCGCGUGUGUGAUGAAGGGUUUCGGCUCGUAAAACACUGUUGUAAGAGAAGAAUGACAUUGAGAGUAACUGUUCAAUGUGUGACGGUAUCUUACCAGAAAGGAACGGCUAAAUACGUGCCAG
rnacentral:rRNA from 1 species